GCCAGACACAAUGUUGCAUGCAUGUAGACCCAGCUACUCAGGUGGCUGAGGCAGGAGGAUCCCUGGAGUUCAGGAGUUCUGGGCGAUAGUGCAUUAUGCUGAUCAGGUGUCUGUACCGUUAUGCAUCACUAUGGUGACCUCCUGGGAGGAAGGGACCACCAGGUUGCCUCAGGAGAGGGGAAGCAGCUCAGGUGGGAAACAGCAGGUCAAAACUCUUGUGGGCUGAUCAGUAGUGGGAUUGCACCUAUCAAUAGCCACUGCAUGCCAGUCCAAGCAAUGUAGAGAGGCCUAGUCUAAA
rnacentral:SRP_RNA from 1 species